ensembl:lncRNA
CAGAGCCAUCCGCAGUACCGGCUCAAAUGAAUCUCUAGAUGCUGGGGUACUCCCUUUGGAUUUGCCCUUAAACAGCAUUGAGGAGCUAAACCAUGCAGAGGCAGCUCUUACGUCGCAAGAGGCAAUUAAGGCAAUGGUGGGACGCUUUGCCUUGAUUGGAGGGACCACACUUGAGGUGCGAGUCUGCCGUGUAAUGGCUUAUGCCAUUACAAAUGAGCUGGCCUCACAACUAAACUGGGCAGGGAAAAAAACAAAGGACCACACGAAGCAAAAAAGGGCCUUUAAAGAAACUGCGCUGUGCAGAUGCAUAUUUGAUGGCCUGACGCAGCAGUUAGGAGCGAACUCGAUGUCAGAGUUUCUCUUUGCACAGGCAGUGCAGAAGUGGCUACGGUACGCCCCAGACCGUUUGGGUGGUGCAGGACGGACAUCAUCCGUCCCCAUCCCAGGGGAGUAGUAAAAACUACAAAGUUAUAUUAAAAUAUAAAUGUAAAAU